GGCUGGUCUGAAGGUAGUGAGCUAUCUCAAUCGGAUUGUUCACACUCAGUUACAGAUUGAACUCCUUGUUCUACUUUCCCUGCUUCUCUCUACUGCAAUUGACUAGUCUUUA
ensembl:misc_RNA Y_RNA Y RNA